rnacentral:lncRNA from 1 species
GCGUCACGACGAUCGCCGCCUAGAAUAGUAAUCAAAUCCAACCUCAGAAUUCAUAUCGAUAGAAUAUAUAACUUAUAUAAAAUACGUCACUACGUAGAUCGAUCCGGAAGAUCUGCCACUCAGAUUUUAAAUCCAUAACUUCCAAAGGUCCACAAUAUAUCUCUAGGAUAACAUCCUAAAAUUUCAUUUCCAUCCAACGGUCGGAUCUCCGUCAAUUUCCAAAACUAAGUGACGGUUAACAUUUUUAUAUUAUGGACUUACAACUUCAAUUCCGGAAGAUCCGUAAAUCGGAUUCCCAAUCCGUAAGUUCCUAUAAUCCUCAAAUAUUACGUAUUACAACGUAUCAAAAUUUGGUGACGAUCCAACGGUCGGAUCAUCAAUUCACAUUUUCACCUAAUGCGAAAUUUAUAAAAACGUUAUUUAAACGUACAUACGAAACAUUCGCUAAUAACUUCUCAUACGUUGAUCAAUUUGGGUAUAUAAAUAUACCACCGUGACCUACACGACGUCACGAACCCGUACAUAUUUUUAGAAAUAAUUUUGGACCAUGCACGCGCCCCCACGCGCCGGCGAGGCCACGGGUCUACGCGCGGCCCACGCGCAGUAACCCUAACGGAACUUUGAAACGGCGUCAGGAAUAUUCCGAGGAAUAUUCCGUUAACUUCUAACGGUAACCGUUAAAACUGACUAACGGCGUCAGAAUAUUCCGUCAAACUUGACGGAAUAUUCCGUCACCUUCAACCUUCAGCUCCGGCGACCGUCGCCGGUGCCGGAAACUGGGUAAGUUUUCUAAACUUGAUAUCUUGUUCGUUUUUCAACCAAUUUUUAUGAAAUUCAUACCAAAUUGAAGCUUAGGACCUCUAGAAUCACUUUAUACCUGUUUGAAACUUCAAAUUGCAUGAAAUUACGUCGGGGAACUUUGAAACUCCGGCGACCUCUGUAAAACUUCGUAACUGAGCUUCCCGUGAUCCUUUUCUUACCAACGAUGCACUCCGAGCAUCGUGAGAACAUUCUAAAGCUCCCUAUGAUCCUGAAAUUCAAAGAAAAUCUCCCAUUUAAAAGAUGAUGAACAAUACCCAAAUCGGGAAUCCUAUUUUUUUUUAGGGUUUUCCGACGUCCUAUUCCAUCCAAAACUCGUCCAUUAAACUUAAGAGGAAGAAAGAUUACCUUUGGGAGUCUUAAACUGGCUUGAAACUUCCAAGAUCACGUCGAAGUGAUUGUGUACUCAAAUCGGGUUACGGCUUUUCUCGGGUUUUCGAAGGUUCCAGGAUUUGAAAGCUAUGUGGUUAAAAUCAUAAGGACCUCAGGAACACCACCGUACUCUCCAUGAUCUCGAUCUGUAAAGGUUUGAAGGUUUUCGAGUGUUGUCUGUGUAUUGAGAGAGAAUGAGGGUGAGUGAAACUUGUCGAGGGAAUAGAGAGAGAGGGAGUGGUACACGGAUGAGAGAGAGAAAGUGCUUGACAGGUUUGAAAGGUAGAGCAAUUCACGGAGAAUGGGAAAUGACUUGGAUCCGUGAGUGUGUAGGGUCUAAGUCCUCAAUCAUUCAUCACAAACCUCCAAAACCUCAAAGUCCAUCUAACUUUAAACUAGGGUAAUUUAACUAAGUUCACACUUAAGAAAAUACUAAUCUUGGGACGGGCUGUGACAAUCUUCCCUCCUUAUAGAAUUUCGUCCCCGAAAUUCCAACAACCAACUAAAUCAACCUUACUGAAACAUCUAUACCCAUACAAUAGUCUCGGGUAGAUCUCUCUCAUCCGUUCUUCCACGUAAUUUCUUCUACUGAAUGAUUUCUUCACAAAUCCUUUACCACUUACUCUUUCUUAACUCUCGGGACUUCCUUUCUCCAAUCCAAAAUCGUCCUUAGUUCCUUAUCAAUUAGAUCCCGCUUAAUUCUCAAUAGUUGCACCAGAAUCUCAUGUGACGAAUCUGCCACCUAGUGACAACGUAUCGAACCCAAAAUACAUUAAGUAUCUUAGCCAACUCUGAAGACAUCACCACUUGUAUGCAACUUUAUUGAUUCCUUUAGUGAUCAAAACGGACUGAUGUGUUCAAGACUUAUCUUGUCUUCCUUUCUAAAUCUUACUAUUUCUGUUCAUGGUGAAAUUUCCAAAAAUAUCAAACCAUUUACCUUACACACUCGAUUAGUGGCAUAUCCAUCUGUUAGUCUCUUUUGCCAUUCCUGGUUACUUCAGGUUAACUUAAUCACCUGAAUACUUUGAGGAGACUCAUCCAUAGUCUCAGGGUCUACUAAAACUCUUUCUUGAUCGAAUCUUUCUCUAUUCAGAAGCAUUUCAUUCACACGACACGCUUCAGGGACCCUAUGGCGUUACUUCGGAAACUGCACAACCAACAUACUUAAGAAACUUAGCAGUUCCGUAAUCCAAUUCUCUUUUCCAUAAAACAAAUAAGUACUGUUACUCAACACUGGAGUAAAUGUACUAACUUAGUACAUUGACCAAUCAACACCUCAAAUUCGAUCAUAACCAUCUUAUGUACAAGAAAACUUGUACACAUAAUCCAAAGUAAUAUCUUUCCAUUUCUGAACUUUACUUUAGUUGGUUUCCAAUCCACAACAAGAAUUUUUUUUUUUUUUUUUUUUUUUUGGCAAGCGUGCCAGACAUUAAUCUUACUGUAGUCUUCUUAUCAAGUGCUUCAGCUACAACAAUUCACGAUCACCCUGAUCGUACAAUCAUAAUCACUAAGUAAUUCAAUUCACCUUUGUUGCCUCAUAUCAAAAUCCUUCCAAGUAAACAAAUAUUGGAGACUCUUUUGAUUUGUAAAAUCUUGCAUUCUUAUCAACAUAUAAUGUCUCCAUAACUUCACAGCAAGGAUGAUAAUCGUGACUUCCAAAUCACCAGUAGGGUAAUUCAUCUUAUGAGAUUCCAUUUGUCAUGAAACAUAUGCCAUCACCCUAACAUUUGCAUCAACAUGCAUCCAAUACCAUUCAAGAAAUAUCACUAAAAUUUUAUGAUUACCACUAUUCUCUGGGAAUACCAAAAUACGUGCAUGAGUGAGGAAAUACUUCAGUUGUUGAAUCCUUUGCUCACAAUUUCCUUCCUACUCAUACAUAACCUCCUUUCUCAACAGUCUCGUCAAUGACAAAGCAAUGACUAAAAAUUCUUUCACAACCAUCCAAAAUAGCCUGAUAAGUUAAGAAUUUCCGAAUCUCAAUUAUGGCUUGUGGUUGUUCCAAUUUCUCAAUUCUGCUGCCUUUUAAGAAUUCAUUUGAAUACCUUAAGUAGAUAUAACCAAUUUCAGAAUGCCACUUGAUUCAUCCAACAUUCACAUUUGCUAAACUUAGCAUACAGUCGACAUUCUUCCAAUCUUUGUUCCACCGACUUAAUACGUUUACAUGCUCUGCUCUGGCUCAGAAUAUGCCAGAAUAUCUUCAACGAAAAUGAUAUCAAUUAUCAAAGCAUUAUUGGAAUACUUCAUCCAUCAACUCAUAAAAUAGCAUGAGUAUCCAUAGCAUCACCAAACUUCAUAAAGACUAUAACAAGUCCAGAAAACCAUCUUAUAAUCAACAUCGUUCAAAAGCUUCAAUUGGUAAUGGACAGACCUCAAGUCAAUCUUUGAAUUUACACCAUUACCUCUGAGCUAGUCAAACAAACAUCAACCAAUUCUCUCAAUUGAAUUUCCAAUUCACUUAACUCAUCAUGAACCAAUCUCUAUCAUAAGAUUUAUACCUGGCAACAAUUCAAUAGUGAACCUUACAUCUUUGCCUGAAGGCAAUCCAGGUAUACUUUCAAGGACAACAUUAAGAAAGCGUCCAAUUACCUUUACAUUUUCCAACUACUAGGAGCCACAUUAUUUAGCAUCACAUAAGCUAAGUAUCCUUGACAGAUCUUCGAUAACUACCUCUUUACUCUCACAGCAAUUUAACAGUCUGUCUCACUCCACUUUGCAUACCCAUCAAGGUAACCUCUGAUCAUCCAGAUCGUUGGAAAGUGACUGGUUUCCCGUAACAUUCCAUCUUAUCACAAUGAUAAUCAACCAUUCUAUAUCUAGAAUGACAUCAAAAUCACAAUACAUACUCUAUUACUACUAAGCAUUCUGAAUAAGUACAAUACUAACAUAGGAUAACCUACCAGUUUACUUACUUAACGAAUCCACGAAUAAGUUAUUAAUAUUACGGUCUGCAGCCCGCAAUACUGAUAAAUCAUCGUUGUCUCGAUAAGUAGGCAACAACUCUCAAAGAUAUAAUAGUACUAUUUUUAUCACUCAAUGCAAAAUACAUAAUAAGAAAUAUAUCAGCCGGGGUCAACUAGAAUGACAUGUACGGCUGAUUCAACAAUUACCUCAAUAAUAUGUCGGCCGGAUCCACUCCGCGUGGUCGGUACGGCCGAGCCUAUAACUCACCAAUUUCUCAUUCGUCAGCCGGGUCCACCUCUCGUGGCCUGCAUGGCUGAACAUAUAACUCAUCAAAUCUUUCUGUACCCACGGUCACUCCGACCAAACUACUAAGUCCAUAACUCUGCUGAAUCGACACUAUGAUAUCAUGGAAAAUUGUUGAGUACAACUGAUUCUAGGGACAAUUCACAAUUCUGUGUCUCCUCUGUUCACAUAAACACAUUCAUUAAUUUCACACUUCCCAAAGUGUUAAUUUUGUACCUGCUGCACAAGGUACAUUUCCUUUACUCGAGACACCUUGUCUCAAAUAUCUGGGAUUACCAGUAUAUCCAUCACUUUUACUUUGACCAGCGACAUUAAAAACUCAACUGGAAGAAUUAACUCUAGCUUCACUUCUUUCGAAACUCUGAAUCUUUCUAUAUCCUUGAUAUGACGAAUCAUUAACUUUAUCGUCUUUUUUUUUCCAUUCAUUUCUUAUUCUUCCUUAAUUCACAUUUGCAACUCUUGCUUAUUACCAUCGAUAAAUGCUGGAGGAAUAAACUUUUCCUUUAACAAGUCCUUAAACAAUUCUCAAGCGGCUGUUUCCUCCAGUGACAACAAUUAUACUCCUGUUUCCACCAGGAUACAAAUUCAUACCCAAAACCAGGUAGUCGUCUCGACCCCUCAGUCAAAAGGAAGAUUCCUUUGACUUGCAUAAUCUAAAACAUCUUUUCCAAAUGGUUAAACCGUUACUUCGCUCCCUCGGGUUCAUCAUUUCAUAAGGUGAUUCAAAUUCGACUCAUAAUCCGUCUUAAAAUGUCCCUUUUUAUAAUAGACUGAAUCACCAUAAGAAUAGUUUCCCCUAAACCGCUAUAUUAGGGAGACUAAAUUCCUCUAACUAAGUGGUUUACUACGAGGCGGUGUAGUUCUGACAGAAUUCACUAGAAACUUCUCAAAAUGUCCAAGAUUGCAACCAUGCUCUGAUACCAACUGACACACCCCGUCCCGAAGGAGGGCAUGCUGGCCGUCACGUGAGAGUGACGUAACCAUUUGCACAGUACGGAAGCUUUAAGAUACAAUUUAUAAGUUGAUACACCCGAAGGUGAGUCCUAAUUUUGUCCAAUCUGUCAGAACACCGACGAAUUCCUCGUAGUCACCACACCUUUGUGAUUCCUGAACCUGGAGGGGCGCAAAACCAAAAUUGAGUGGGUCAGUAAAACAAUUCUUUUCCAAAACCAAACAUUUCUCAAAACGUUGUAACCCCUCUCCGUAAAACCUGUAUACUUUCCCAGAAAUGUAAAAUAUAAAUAUACAUAUAUAUUCUCAAAACUUCAUUUUUACUAUCUCAACAUUAUCUCUUUAUCAAUCAUGCCAUGCCAUGUCAUCUCAACAUUUCUCAUAUUAAUUAUGCCAUGCCACAUCAUCUCAACAGUAAUAAGGUAUGAAUGCAUCAACAUAAUCAUAUCAGGUGCAAGAAAGUAAUCAACCGUAGGCCCUCUAAUAGCCCUAUACGGUUGAACCUAGAGCUCAAAAUCUAUCAUUAUCACUCUACCGGAGUCACCUCUGUGACCCGUCCGGCCUUCUGCACACAAGUUACGCUCUAGUGCUUCUCAUAAAUCAUCUGUGCACAUAAUCUAAGGUCACCCACCAGUCGGAAUCUCACUAACACUCUUGCGACUGGUCUGUCGUACCCACUCCGCGUGGACUGUACGACUAGCAUCUACUUGGAUCCAAGGCGAGCGUGCGAUGCGGUGAAUACUAUAAGCACUAAACCAUGGUGCAGGAUUUGAGCUCAAUAUAUAUCAUCAUAACAGUAAUUAAAUACUCAUCUGUGCGUCCACCGCACCAUUUCAUACAUAUGCAUCAUAAAUCAAUUCUUACCUGUGCGUCCACCGCACCAAUUCAUACAUAUGCAUCAUAAAUCAAUUCUUACCUGUGCGUCCACCGCACCAAUUCAUACAUAUGCAUCAUAUAUUAAUUCAUGCAUGGCAUUUCAACUCACAUUUCUAUAUACUUUUCAUAUCAAUUCUAUGCAUGGUAUUUCACUUCCCGUUUUUCCACAUAACUCAUAUGCAUUUCAUUUUAAACAUUAUUUCAUGCAUUUUCAAUUUCUGGGAAAACGUUAAGUAUAUAUAUAUAUAUACGGAAAACAAAACUGCCCACUCACCUGGAGUUCGUCCAACAACUCCCUAGCACCACACAUCAAGGCGUCACGACGAUCGCCGCCUAGAAUAGUAAUCAAAUCCAACCUCAGAAUUCAUAUCGAUAGAAUAUAUAACUUAUAUAAAAUACGUCACUACGUAGAUCGAUCCGGAAGAUCUGCCACUCAGAUUUUAAAUCCAUAACUUCCAAAGGUCCACAAUAUAUCUCUAGGAUAACAUCCUAAAAUUUCAUUUCCAUCCAACGGUCGGAUCUCCGUCAAUUUCCAAAACUAAGUGACGGUUAACAUUUUAUAUUAUGGACUUACAACUUCAAUUCCGGAAGAUCCGUAAAUCGGAUUCCCAAUCCGUAAGUUCCUAUAAUCCUCAAAUAUUACGUAUUACAACGUAUCAAAAUUUGGUGACGAUCCAACGGUCGGAUCAUCAAUUCACAUUUUCACCUAAUGCGAAAUUUAUAAAACGUUAUUUAAACGUACAUACGAAACAUUCGCUAAUAACUUCUCAUACGUUGAUCAAUUUGGGUAUAUAAAUAUACCACCGUGACCUACACGACGUCACGAACCCGUACAUAUUUUUAGAAAUAAUUUUGGACCAUGCACGCGCCCCCACGCGCCGGCGAGGCCACGGGUCUACGCGCGGCCCACGCGCAGUAACCCUAACGGAACUUUGAAACGGCGUCAGGAAUAUUCCGAGGAAUAUUCCGUUAACUUCUAACGGUAACCGUUAAAACUGACUAACGGCGUCAGAAUAUUCCGUCAAACUUGACGGAAUAUUCCGUCACCUUCAACCUUCAGCUCCGGCGACCGUCGCCGGUGCCGGGAAACUGGGUAAGUUUUCUAAACUUGAUAUCUUGUUCGUUUUUCAACCAAUUUUUAUGAAAUUCAUACCAAAUUGAAGCUUAGGACCUCUAGAAUCACUUUAUACCUGUUUGA